rnacentral:rRNA from 1 species
UGGGGAAUUUUCCGCAAUGGGCGAAAGCCUGACGGAGCAACGCCGCGUGAGGGAGGAAGGCCUUUGGGUUGUAAACCUCUUUUGCUGGGGAAGAAGUCAGUGACGGUACCCAGCGAAUCAGCAUCGGCUAACUCCGUGCCAGCAGCCGCGGUAAUACGGAGGAUGCAAGCGUUAUCCGGAAUCAUUGGGCGUAAAGCGUCCGCAGGUGGCCUUUCAAGUCUGCUGUCAAAGACCGAAGCUUAACUUCGGGCCGGCGGUGGAAACUGAAAAGCUAGAGGACAGUAGGGGUAGCGGGAAUUCCCAGUGUAGCGGUGAAAUGCGUAGAGAUUGGGAAGAACAUCGGUGGCGAAAGCGCGCUACUGGGCUGAACCUGACACUAAGGGACGAAAGCUAGGGGAGCGAAAGGG